AAAAUAGUAAUAGGAUUACAUGAAAUUGUCACCAAAAGUAAGCUUGAAGUUGAGAAGAGCAAAUUUGCAACAAAAAUUCAACAAAAUUUCGACCCUCGUGGGGCCCUAGGCCUCUCUACUUAUACAAUUGAAGCUCCCAAUAGCUUCCUUAAAAUCAAGGAGACUUGGCUCCCAAAACUCAAGAUAAACAUAAGUUAUCCUCCACUUGCUCAGCUACCUCCUAGUGCAUUGAUUUGGUAGUUUGUACUAUGAGCUGCAUGAAGGAUAAUUCGAAGUGGGAAGUAAUAAAUGAGGGGAAUUCCCUCCUAUAAAUCCUCUCCUUUGUCCACUUCAAAUUAUUUCUACCAAUUUUCCAUUGAAUCUUUGACUUUUUCUUCAAAAUUCAACAAAAAUCUUCAUUAAACACAUAUUAGACCUCAUGGCAUCAUAACUAACCCAAAUCACUCCAUAAGCAUAAAUAUAAUAAAAAAACAUGCAAUAAGAUAAGAGAGUGCUUGAUUUAACUAUGUUAGGAUGCAAAAUGAGCCCAUAUAAUUACCCAUUUAUGGGGCUCAUCAGACCCAAAAGAUGGUGAACUAUGUCUGAGCAAGGGGAAGCCAAUAGGAAACUCUGGUGGAGGCGCGUAGUGAUACUGAUGUGUAAAUCAUUCGUCUGACUUGGGUAUAGGGGAAAAGACUAAUAGAACCAUCUAGUAGUUGGUUUCCUCUGAAGUUUCCCUCAAUAUAGGUGGAGCUCACAUGCGGGUUUUAUCGGGUAAAGAAAAUGAUUAGAGGCAUUGGGGGUGUAAUUUCCUUUACCAAUUCUCAAACUUUAAAUAGGUAAGAGGGUGAAGCUGCUCCAUUGAGCCAUGCCAUGUUAUUGAGAGCUCAAAGUGGGCCAUUUUUGGUAAGAAGAAUUGGUAAUUCAGGAUGAAUAGAAAGUCAAGUCAUGGUGUCAAAUUGCAUGCUAACCUAGAUCUUCCAAAUGGUUUUUGUUGAUUAAGACAGCAAGAUGGUGGCCGUGGAAGUAAAAAUCUGUUAAGGAGCGUCUAACAACUCACCUACUUAAUCAACUAGCCCUGAAAAUUGAUGGCGUUGAAGCACACAACCUAUAAUCAACUGUCGGAGCAAUUGCCUAGCUUCGAUGAGUAGGAGGACGUAGAGGUCAUUGAGAAACCUCAGGCAUGAGCUUCGGUGGAUCAACCCUUGGUGUCAAUCUUGGUGGUAGUAGAAAAUAUUCAAAUGAGAACUUGGAAGAUUGAAGUGGGGAAAGGUUCCAUGUGAACAACACUUGGACAUGGGUUAGUCAAUCCUAAGAGAUGGGGAAGCCUUGUAUCAAGGGUUCACUCUACACGAGUAUUCAAAGGGAAUCAGGUUAACAUUCUUGAACUGGGACAUGGUGAUGGGUGGAAACGUUAGGCAACUUGGAGACGUUAGCGAGGGCCCUAGGAAGAGUUAUCUUUUUUUUUUUAAACAACUUGCCCACCCUGGAAUCAGUUCACCCAGAGAUAGGUUCCAACAACUAUAAGAGUACCGCACGUCUUACAGUGUCUGGUGCUCCCUCAACAGCCCUUGAAAAUAUGGAAGAGUGAGUACUGUGCAUGUGUAUUUGUACUCAUAACCACAUCAAGUCUCCAAGGUGAACAACCUUUGGUCAAUAGAACAAUGUAGGUAAGGGAAGUGGGAAAAAUGGAUUUGUAACUUUAGGAAAAGGAUUGGAUUUGGGGGCUGGGCCUAGGAGUCUAUGCCCUAGACUCAUGCACUAUCUAUAGUUUGCCUGAGCUACUCUCAUGGCAAGGGCAAGUAGCCACAUGCUGAUUGGGCUAUAGGUGUAUAAUUCCCCCCACCAAGGGCUUUUCCCUAGGUAGCGGACAUUCGACUCAGAACUGGUAUAGACAAGGGGAAUCUGACUAUUUAAUUAAAGUAAAGCAUUGUGAUGGUCCCUGCAGAUGUUGGCACAAUGUGAUUUCUUCCUAGUGCUUUGAAUGCCAAAGUGAAGAAAUUGAACCAAGUGCAGGUAAAGGGCGGGAGUAAAUAUGACUCUCUUAAGGUAUCCAAAUGCCUCAUCAUCUCAUUAGUGACACACAUGAAUGGAUUAAAGAGAUUCCCACUAUUCCUAUAUACUAUCUAGUAAAACCGGAACCAAGGAAAAGGGCUUGGCAGAAUCAUCAAGGAAAGAAGACCCUGUUUAGCUUGACUCUAGUCUGACUUUGUGAAAUGACUUGAGAGGUGUAGAAUAAGUGGGAGUCAUUUUCAGUGCAAGUGAAAUACCACUAUUUUUAACGUAAUUUUACUUAUUUCGUGGGGUGGAGAUAGGGCUCUACCCCUAUUUUUAGCGUUAAGGCACGUUUCAGUGGGUCAAUCCAGGUGGAAGAUAUUGUCAGUGGGGAGUUUAGCUGGGUCGACACAUCUAUUAAAAGAUAACGCAUGUGUCCUAAGAUGAGCUCAACGAGAACACAAAUCUCGUGUGGAACAAAAGGGUAAAAACUCAUUUGAUUUUUAUUUUCAGUAUGAAUACAAAACAUGAAAGCAUGGCCUAUCGAUUUUUUAGAUUUUUAGAAUUUGAAGCUAGAUUUGUCACAAAAGUUACCAUAGGGAUAACUGGCUUGUGGCAGUCAAGCUUCAUAGCAACAUUUCUUUUUUAUCAUUCAAUGUUAGCUCUUCUUAUCAUUGUGAAGUAUAAUUCACCAAGUGUGGGAUUUUUCACCCAUCGAUAGGGAAUGUAAGCUGGGUUUAGACUGCCAUAAGAUAGGUUAGUCUUACCCUACUAAUGAACCUCACCGCAAUAGUAAUUCAACUUAGUACGAGAGGAACUGUUGAUUCACACAAUUGCUCAUCACGCUUAGUUGAAAAGCUAGUGGAGUGAAGCUACCAUGUGUCAUAUUAUGACUGAACGCCUCUAAGUCAGGGUCCAUGCUAGAAGCAGUGCAUGUCGCUCUUUGACUGUAUCUCAACCCACAGUAGGGGUGUCACUUUGUCGCCCCAAGGGGCCCAUGUCAUUUAUAAACCAUGACUGUGAAGCAUAUGGGUCGGGGAAACUUUGAAGUUCAAUUCCCAACAGUUGUUAAGAAGAAUCCUUUACAAACAACUUAAAUACGUGACAA
rnacentral:rRNA from 1 species